UACGUAGGGACCAAGCGUUGUUCGGAUUUACUGGGCGUAAAGGGCGCGUAGGCGGCAAUUCAAGUCAUCUGUGAAAUCUCCGGGCUUAACUCGGAACGGUCAGGUGAUACUGCUUUGCUAGAGUGCGGAAGGGGCAAUCGGAAUUCUCGGUGUAGCGGUGAAAUGCGUAGAUAUCGUAAGGAAGACCAGUGGCGAAGGCGGGUCUCUGGACAGUUCCUGACGCUGAGGCACGAAGGCCAGGGGAGCAAACGGG
rnacentral:rRNA from 1 species